AUGAUAUAUAUAAAAAUUGCUUUUACUCCUUUUGUUUUUAUUAAAGGAUUUGAAGAUUCAGAUUUAUUAGAUGGUAACUUGCCACCUGAGAACCCACAAUCAGGUGGGGACGAUUCUGGCUCCGCUGGAGCUAAAACAGAUUCUCCAGGCAUGCUAGCUGGCAUUAUUAGUUCUGUUGUAGUAGCAAUAGCUGGAGCUCUUUCAAGUUUUAUAGCAUACCAGAAGAAGAAGCUUUGCUUCAAACCAAGUGAUCAAGAAAACAUUCCUGUGGAAAGCCAGCAAGGAGCACAUGCAGCUCCAUCUGUUCAACAUACACUUUUGCAGAAACAAUAACAGAAUUUGAUAUGAAGAGAAGACCAGAAACUGGAUUUAUAGCCUGCAUAAUUUCCUGAAGGAGCAAGGGAAUGGAAUUGCAAAGUAAAUCUUUAAAAUAGGCCUGUUGAAACAUCUUCAGAAAGGGAGUGUGAUGUUUUUAACCAAUGAAAAAUAUUUUCCUCCACUAUUUACCCUUUGAAGUUCAAUUGUAUGCAGGGUGAUUAUUGUUUUAAAAUGUAUUUUUAUGGCAUUUGUUGAUUGGAUUAAAGUUUUUUUUCUAUUUUCUAUUUUUUUUUUAGCAAGAACCUUGAAAAGGGAGAUAGGUGUACUUGUAAAAUACUUUCAGGCAGGUUGUUCACUAAGUAAAAGUAUGUUGAUUAUAGAUAUCUCUAAGAAGUACAGUUUGUCUUUACAUACUGAUGCAUAUCAUACUAUAUGGAUAAGGCCAGCUAUUUAGAUAUUGGGGCAAAGCACAAGUUUGCUCUUACCAGAUGAGUAGCUCUUAAUACAGUACAAUUGCUCACUUCAUAAUUGAGGUUAUGUAUUAUAAAUAUGUAUGAAUCGACUUAGGACUAAGUCCCCUUGUCCCUGAAUCUCUAGUUCAUAAAUAUUAACAUUUUUGCUUCUACAUGUUCUUGGUCACAUUUAGAAAUUGGACAUGGAGUAAAUGCCUUAUCUGACUAGCAAAUCUUUUGAAAUUUUAUCAUUGUAUACAAGUACAUAGGAAUUGAAGGCAUUAAAAAUCUAAGUUGCCUUAAGUUUUGACUCAAAAAUAAACUUAAAAUAAUCCUUAUCUUGAACAUGUUUGCAUCUGAAAAUUUAUUUCUUGUAUGUAGUAAGGCUAUAUUUCUGAGCUGCAUGAUGCUGGAAAUAAAUAUGAUUUUAUAGAACAUA